UACGUAGGUGGCGAGCGUUGUCCGGAAUUACUGGGUGUAAAGGGCGUGUAGGCGGGGAGGCAAGUCAGAUGUGAAAUCCCGAGGCUCAACUUCGGAGCUGCAUCUGAAACUGUUUUUCUUGAGUACUGGAGAGGAAAGUGGAAUUCCUAGUGUAGCGGUGAAAUGCGUAGAGAUUAGGAGGAACACCAGUGGCGAAGGCGGCUUUCUGGACAGUAACUGACGCUGAGGCGCGAAAGCGUGGGGAGCAAACAGGAUUAGAUACCCUGGUAGUCCACGCCGUAAACGAUGGAUACUAGGUGUGGGAGGUAUCGACCCCUUCCGUGCCGGAGUUAACACAAUAAGUAUCCCACCUGGGGAGUACGGCCGCAAGGCUGAA
rnacentral:rRNA from 1 species